rnacentral:rRNA from 1 species
GUGAACGCUGGCGGUAGGCCUAACACAUGCAAGUCGAACGGCAGCACAGUAAGAGCUUGCUCUUACGGGUGGCGAGUGGCGGACGGGUGAGGAAUACAUCGGAAUCUACUUUUUCGUGGGGGAUAACGUAGGGAAACUUACGCUAAUACCGCAUACGACCUACGGGUGAAAGCAGGGGAUCUUCGGACCUUGCGCGAUUGAAUGAGCCGAUGUCGGAUUAGCUAGUUGGCGGGGUAAAGGCCCACCAAGGCGACGAUCCGUAGCUGGUCUGAGAGGAUGAUCAGCCACACUGGAACUGAGACACGGUCCAGACUCCUACGGGAGGCAGCAGUGGGGAAAAUUGGACAAUGGGCGCAAGCCUGAUCCAGCCAUACCGCGUGGGUGAAGAAGGCCUUCGGGUUGUAAAGCCCUUUUGUUGGGAAAGAAAAGCAGCAGGUUAAUACCCCGCUGUUCUGACGGUACCCAAAGAAUAAGCACCGGCUAACUUCGUG